rnacentral:rRNA from 1 species
UACGAAGGGGGCUAGCGUUGCUCGGAAUCACUGGGCGUAAAGGGUGCGUAGGCGGGUUUUUAAGUCAGGGGUGAAAUCCUGGAGCUCAACUCCCAGAACUGCCUUUGAUACUGAAGAUCUUGAGUUCGGGAGAGGUGAGUGGAACUGCGAGUGUAGAGGUGAAAUUCGGUAGAUAUUCGCAAGAACACCAGUGGCGAAGGCGGCUCACUGGCCCGAUACUGACGCUGAGGCACGAAAGCGUGGGGAGCAACAGG